rnacentral:lncRNA from 1 species
AAAAAACAAUUUGUAUUGUACUAUAAAUUUGGCCCAAUCUCAUUGGUAUAGCUUUUGCCCACUUUUCUUGCUGACACGUAUUGAAUUGUUCUUCUUUUUGGAAUGACACGUACUUAUCUUUUCGGGUCAUUUGCUUCCGUUCCUACUUCAAUUGUUAGUUCUCCUUCUUCGAUUUUUCUAUGUCAAUUGCAUCUUCAUCUCUCUUGCUAUCUGUCUCAUGUAUCUCUCUCUUACUAUUCUGGUUUUGUUUUAGAAUUUUUCAAUUUUGGCUCGAGUUUUGCUCUGGCGAUGUUGUAUUUCCGACUAACAGAUAAGUGUUCAUUCUUUAAGGAUUUUCCGUCUUCUCCUCCAAUUCCAUAGACGAUAUUUAUUGGUUGAGUCACUGCUAACUUUGGAAUCUCUGAUGGCUAUUCUAGAAUUAUUUGCGCAUUAAAGUUUAUUCAUAAUUGAGUUUGCUCAUGCAUUUUCUGCUUUGAAUAUUAUGUGUCAAAUUUCUUGAUUUUCUCCAGAUUUCCUAAAAGGACGUUCUUAGAGAGGUUUUGAAGAUCCGGGGGGGACUGUAAUUGGGUAUUACUUUUUCCCUUCUCUUUCAUCCUUCGGGGCCCGAUUGAAAAACAACUGAAAUUACCAACUCUACUGCAGAAUUUAUUGCGUUUGCUCUUUUUUAAAAUAAAAACAAAAAUAUUUUGAACAUGCAUGUACUCAUUCAUUAUUUUUGUGUCAAUUUCAUAGCUCUCAGUAGAGAUUAAGAAGUAUUCGACGAGAAUAGAGAAAUACUCUGUGAACAAAAUCCCAAAGGUCAGUAAUGCAUUUAUGUCAUGUCAAUUAUUACUUACGAUCUAUAUUGAAGUUGGUCAAUUAUGACUUACUUUAGCUACUCAGUUUGGUCUAAUUUUAAGUGCAACUGGUAAAAAAAGAUGUAGAUGGGCUUGUAGUAGGGGCAAUAAGGUUGAUGGAAGCCGAGGUGAGUAAGAUAAAGAGUACAUCACUUGAUGCCAUUAGUAAAUUCCUGAAAUUUUAUGUUCACCGGGAGAGAGAAUGUGUAACAAGUUUCAAUUUAAAGAAACUUCUUUUUGAUUAUUUUAUCUGCGCAUUUGUGUGAUAAACAUGUAAGCAUAUGUCUGAAAUUAUAGUUCGAAGACUUGCCAACUGAAGCACUUCUGCUUUGAUGAUAACUGAACUAAGCUCUGGCCGCUUGUUUUAAGCUAAUUAUGAUUUCACUGCUAAAUUGUUGUAAAUUAGGUUCAUGCUAAUAAAAGGGAAGAAAAUAAACUUAUCAUUUUUGCGUCUAAUAUUUCUUAAAUCUUUCCUUAUGUUAGUAACUAUAUAGACAUCUCAGUUCACAUUGAUUUGGACUAUAAUUUACAGCUUUAAAGCUUCAUAUUUGAUGUUCAUGUUGCUUACAGAUGUACCUUUGGACCCAACACUCAGCAAAUAGGAAAACGACAUUGUGGCAAGUUAUUCAUAUUUUACUUAUUAUAGAACAAAAGAGGAAUAAAAGGUUUGAUUAUUUUUUUCAUCUUCACAUGAUCAAUGACUUAAUUCAUCCAGUCUAUUACCUGGAGUUUAUCAUUGACGUUUUCAAUAUUGCCAUAGGUACUAACAAUCAAUUGUAGUUGGAGCUUCUAUUACCGGACUACUUAUAUGAUAAAAUAAUUCACUAGCACAUUAAAAAUCUGGCCCAAAGAAAAGAGAAGGAAAAUGGCACUUCGCUAAGAGAAUGUAAUGAAGCUAAAAUUAUCUCUCUUUUCAUGUUUCUAAUUUGUGUCUAUUUAAUGUCUGCUAGGUCAGAUUUUGUUGUUGAAUCUCCUUUUAUUUCACUUAAUUGCUCCAAUAGACCUAAGGCAGCCCAUUUAUAUUCGAUAAGUUUUGCUGGAAUGCUUGAUGAAGUGAAUUGGAUGAAUCCAAGAAAUUGAAUUGCAUUAUGAGACCCUUUUGUUCCUUAGUAAAUCAUAAUUUUCUUUCAUUUAUUUCUUUUUCUAUUUAUUUGUUUUAUGAGCGUCCUCAUUGGUACAUAUAGCCACUUAUAACUGCUUCGGAAGAACCUGUGGGCAACCUGCUUAAUGAAUCUGCUCAAAAGGUAAACAUUUUAUUGAAAUAUGUUUUUAUAUCCCUAUGAUCUUUCUCUGGUAUAUUAUCGGAUAUAUGGUAAGCAUUAUUGUGGUUCUCCUCCUCUGAUACAAGUGUCUGAUGCAAAUGUGCUUUGAUCAAUUGCUAUAGACUAUAAUAAGGGUGAAAAGUGAAUUAACUUUUAAUUCAACAAUCCUUCCUCAUUGAUAGUUUGAAGUAAUUGUAUAAUCAUGUGAAAUGGCUAGGUGUUGAUAUUCGACAGAUGGACUUAUAGUACUAACACUUCAUGAUGAAUGGCUAAGUGAAUCUUGCAAUUCUGUAGCUAGAUUUUUGAUAAGCUUGGUGUGACUAAAAGAGAGGAUCAAGUUCUUUUAGAAUAGAUAUUGGUUAGUAAUAAUCAAAAUGUUCCUUCAAGGACAUCCGAUAAAUUAACAAUAAAAAAGAAUAUAUUUUGGUUUUUCCAAAAAAUCUGACCAUUGUGACUUGAUUAGUGUUCCUUUAGACGAAUAAUCCAAAAUAUUUUUUCAUUUUAGAUGAAUUUUCACUUUUAAUAGCUUAUGUACCUGUGAGCCAGUUUCGCAUGUGAUUUGGAUGCAUUACUUCAUAUUGUAGGUAUUCUUGAUGAAAAAGAGAAAAAGAACAGUUAGGAAAGAAUAAUUAACCCAAAGUAGAAUUAGACUGAUUUAAAAUUCUAUCAAUACGAAAUGCUGCAUUCAGAUUCUUUUGGGAGGAGUAAGUGCUUUUUGUGGUUUCAAGGGUAUUCGUGGCUGAUGUCCCACUACGAGUUUUGAUUUUUGGAAACUGAAUAUUGCCAUGUUUGACUUGGAGAUAUUCUUUUCGGAUUAAAAGUUUGUCUUGAAGAUAGGGUUAUGAUGCUCAUUAACCUAACUCCGUUCCUAGGCUUAAAAUCCUGUUGAGAAGAUAUACAUAAAUUUAAUUUAGAUUAUAUAAUCUAAGGUUUAAUGUCUAUGUUUGACUUAUUUAUUAGCAUAUAGCAAAAAAGCCUAACUUUGUUGGGAUGGAGAAGGAACAAGCACAAUGAGAACUUUUAGCUUUCCUUGAGGCUGUUCAACCCAGUUUGAUGGUUUUGUUUGAGAAGAGGAGAAUGUUAUUCAAGAUUAAGUUUAUGCAGUUGAGGGCCGGGGAUGGUGAUUCUGUCAUACUAUCAUUGUUCUUUCUAUUGUAAGUUAUUAGUUUCUACCUGAUGAUAUUCUUGCUAUAUUCCAAUUUUUAGCUUCAAAUAUUCCUGAACAAAAUUUUUAUGGCACUUAGCAUGAAGUUGCAAGCUACACUGUAAACUGGUAUUUCACAUAGGCAAAACAUUACAUGUAUGUUGCGACUGUAAAAAGCAUUUGUGAUUCGACUCAACAUGGACAUAAAAUAGACUUUCAACAAGCAUAUAAAUACUUAAAAGUGUUGAACUUGAAACAUGCUUAGCCUGUCAUUAAUUAUUUAAAGAAUACUAACAUUUUAUGUCCUCUUUUAAAUGUUUUGCAGGAAAAUGGACAGAGGGCUCGACUAACUGUCUUGAGUGCCAGAUUAGAGUCAUUGAUGCAUAUGGUUUUGUGUUGUCCAAGUUAAAUUGGACAUAGCAUGGUGUAAUACUUUGGGUGCUUCAUCUCUUUACCGCACAUUCCCUCAAGAAAAUCUCAUGUUUCUAACGUUCCUUUGUUACUUUUCAACGUUCUUGUAUGGGUUUGUCAUAUUUGGAUUUACAUGGUUUCUUCACUUUUUAUUAAGUAAAAAUAAAAUGUAUCAAUAUAUUUCAUAUUUCAUGGACCAAUAUGCCGGGC